ACUCCUACGGGAGGCAGCAGUAGGGAAUCGUCCGCAAUGGACGAAAGUGAGACGGAGCAACGCCGCGUGAGUGAUGAAGGCUUUCGGGUCGUAGAACUCUGUUGUUAGGGAAGACCAAGUGCUAGUUGGAUAAGCUGGCACUUUGACGGUACCUAACCAGAAAGCCACGGCUAACUACGUGCCAGCAGCCGCGGUAAU
rnacentral:rRNA from 1 species